rnacentral:rRNA from 1 species
UACGUAGGGAGCAAGCGUUGUCCGGAAUCAUUGGGCGUAAAGCGCGCGUAGGUGGCCACAUAAGUCCGUUGUGAAAGUCAAAGGCUCAACCUUUGAAAGCCGAUGGAUACUGUGUGGCUAGAGUACAGAAGAGGCGAGUGGAAUUCCUGGUGUAGCGGUGGAAUGCGCAGAUAUCAGGAGGAACACCAAUAGCGAAGGCAGCUCGCUGGGACGUUACUGACACUGAGGCGCGAAAGCGUGGGGAGCGAACAGG